UUGGAGGGCAAGUCUGGUGCCAGCAGCCGCGGUAAUUCCAGCUCCAAUAGCGUAUAUUAAAGUUGUUGCAGUUAAAAAGCUCGUAGUUGAAUUUCGGGAUCAAUAUUUCGGUCAUGCCGUUGGUAUGCACUGUUAUCAUUGAUUUCUCACCUUCUAAAGAACCGUGAUGUCAUUAAUUUGGUGUUACGGGGAAUUAGGACUGUUACCUUGAAAAAAUUAGAGUGUUUAAAGCAGGCUCACGCUUGAAUACAUUAGCAUGGAAUAAUGAAAUAGGACAUCCGAUUCUAUUUUGUUGGUUUCUAGGAUCGAUGUAAUGAUUAAUAGGGAUAGUUGGGGGCAUUAGUAUUCAAUUGUCAGAGGUGAAAUUCUUGGAUUUAUUGAAGACUAACUACUGCGAAAGCAUUUGCCAAGGAUGUUUUCAUUAAUCAAGAACGAAAGUUAGGGGAUCGAAGACGAUCAGAUACCGUCGUAGUCUUAACCAUAAACUAUGCCGACUAGGGAUCGGAUGAUGUUAAUUUUUUAAUGACUCAUUCGGCGCCUUACGGGAAAC
rnacentral:rRNA from 1 species